rnacentral:rRNA from 1 species
CCCGGCCGCUGGCGGCAUGCCUAACACAUGCAAGUCGAACGAGACCUUCGGGUCUAGUGGCGCACGGGUGCGUAACGCGUGGGAACCUGCCCUUAGGUUCGGAAUAACUCCCCGAAAGGGGUGCUAAUACCGGAUAAUGUCUUCGGACCAAAGAUUUAUCGCCUUUGGAUGGGCCCGCGUUGGAUUAGCUAGUUGGUAGGGUAAAAGCCUACCAAGGCGACGAUCCAUAGCUGGUCUGAGAGGAUGAUCAGCCACACUGGGACUGAGACACGGCCCAGACUCCUACGGGAGGCAGCAGUGGGGAAUAUUGGACAAUGGGCGAAAGCCUGAUCCAGCAAUGCCGCGUGAGUGAUGAAGGCCUUAGGGUUGUAAAGCUCUUUUACCCGGGAUGAUAAUGACAGUACCGGGAGAAUAAGCUCCGGCUAACUCCGUG